AUUCCACUGGGGUUACCGCUAACAGUACCACCCGAGGAACUACAGCUAAAUGCGCUUCCACGUUCACAAUCUGCAGUCGGUAUGGCUUUAAGUUCUCUGCACAUUACAGAUUUCAACAAGAAAAAAUCAGUAGGGACCCGUGAAAUCAGGUCAAGCAGCUCAUUAUUGGGAACGGAAUGGGGCCUUAGUAUUUUCCUCGAGAACUUGUUGACACCCCAGGCCAGGAUGAGGUACCGCACAGGAAUUAAAUACAGAACAGCCACGCCAAGGAUGGCGAGCAUCAUCGCCACGUAGCUCAGAUAUGGAAAUCCCCUCAUGCAUGAUCAAAGUCUUCACCUUGCUGACUGCCUCCAGCCACAUCUUUGAAUAAUGUGAUUCGCUACAGGCAACGACUCACCGACCUUGUCCUUGUCAUCCUCGUCGUCAUCAUCGUCCCCAGGUGUUGGAGGGCAUUCGUCCGAAGCAGCAUCCCCAUGAUCUUGGUGGUGAUGCGAUUGCUGGAGC